rnacentral:rRNA from 1 species
AUUGAACGCUGGCGGCAUGCCUUACACAUGCAAGUCGAACGGUUACAGGUCUUCGGAUGCUGACGAGUGGCGAACGGGUGAGUAAUACAUCGGAACGUGCCUAGUAGUGGGGGAUAACUACUCGAAAGAGUGGCUAAUACCGCAUGAGAUCUACGGAUGAAAGCAGGGGAUCGCAAGACCUUGUGCUACUAAAACGGCCGAUGGCAGAUUAGGUAGUUGGUGGGAUAAAAGCUUACCAAGCCGACGAUCUGUAGCUGGUCUGAGAGGACGAUCAGCCACACUGGGACUGAGAAACGGCCCAGACUCCUACGGGAGGCAGCAGUGGGGAAUUUUGGACAAUGGGCGCAAGCCUGAUCCAGCAAUGCCGCGUGCAGGAUGAAGGCCUUCGGGUUGUAAACUGCUUUUGUACGGAACGAAAAGCCCCGGGUUAAUACCCUGGGGUCAUGACGGUACCGUAAGAAUAAGCACCGGCUAACUACGUGCCAGCCGCCGCGGUAA